UUUCUCCCUCUGCUUGCUUCUUACUGUCUUUGAGGCUCGGGACCAGCACUCCUGUUGUUGGACAGAAAGACAUCAACUCAGUGACUUGAGAUAUGACUGCACUAUGCUGUUGCUGGUGACUCCAGUUAAUUCUACAAGACAUGCUGUGACACCAGGAGAGAUGAGUCCUCGGUCACAGAUGGUGUGGUCAGUGAAGAUGG